GACGAACGCUGGCGGCGUGCUUAACACAUGCAAGUCGAGCGGAAAGGCCCUGCUUGCCGGGUCCUCGAGUGGCGAACGGGUGAGUAACUCGUGGGUGAUCUACCCUGCACUUCGGGAUAAGCCUGGAAAACUGGGUCUAAUACCUGAUAGGAGCCAUUUUUAGCGGGAUGGUUGGAAAGUUUUUUCGGUGUAGGAUGAGCUCGCGGCCUAUCAGCUUGUUGGUGGGGUAAUGGCCUACCAAGGCGGCGACGGGUAGCCGGCCUGAGAGGGUGGACGGCCACAUUGAGACUGAGAGGCGGCACAGACUCCUACGGUAGGCAGCAGGGGGGAAUAUUGCACAAGGGGCGCAAGCCGGAUGCAGAGACGCCGCGUGGGGGAUGACGGCCUUCGGGUUGAAAACUCCUUUCGCUAGGGACGAAGCUUUUUGUGACGGUACCUAGAUAAGAAGCACCGGCUAACUACGUG
rnacentral:rRNA from 1 species